ensembl:lncRNA
GCUGGGUUUUUUUUAAACUACACCAUAUUCAAAAGAAUAGCCAGCUGGUUAGGCUGGUUCUGGACCUGGAUUUGACAUAACCAUUUAGGGAAAACUUUGCCACAGAUGGAAACCAGUAACUUUGACUUUGCAUUCUAUUGUUUUCUCCAACAUUUUGGCAUCUUCCAUAAGAUAUAUGCUAUUUUUUACAUUGUAAUGGCCACGGUGCAACCUUUGGCUAGAUACAGUAUAUAACAUUGAAUGCAUGCAUCGACAACAUCUUUAUACCUUGUUUAUGAAAGAUAACAGCCACACAUUGUAGAGCUACUUUUAAUAAACAAGUAUAGGCUACAUAUUAGUAAUGUGACAACAGGAAACAACGAUGUCAACAACAAAAAAAUUGUAGGCAAGAAUCUCUCCUCCAAUGACUUCUAGUUCUUUCCAUCCUUCUCUUCAUCCUCCAUGUGAAUCAUUCUCUUCUCUCCUUUCACCAUCCUCACACCUGAUGAAGGCAAGUGACUCAACACAUAAAAAAGAAUGAUAAAAGAUUCAUACUGAGAAUCUGUUACGAUACCAACAUCAAUUUAUAAGGUCACAAUGUACAGCAUGUCACCCGUAUAAAUACAUUACUGUCCAUAAUUUAAGCAUAGAGGGUUACUUACACAUCUUGUACAUUACGUCAACAUAUUAAGCCAAACCACUAUUUUACAGUUUACUUCAAGUCUCAUUUAGUCUCUAACAGUAACACAACAGAGUGAGACUGACCUGGUAUGAGUGGAGGAGUGUUGAGGACGGGAGUGUCUUUCCUGCGUGGUUUCUUCAGUUCCUGCUCAUCUGGCUGCUCCUCGGGGUGCACUGCCUCAGGACAGUGUUUCCCCUGCACAGCUCUGGUCAUCCCUGCCCCCUCCUCUAGCAGGGUCCUCACAGGCUCCACCAUCGGAUCUUGGUGCUCCUGUCCACCCGUCAGUCUGUGUUCCGCUGUCUCCGGGGGCGACCUCACACAGCCACAGCCUGUAGACAUCUUCUCCUCCUCUUCUCUCUCUUAUCCUCUUUCUCCCAGUCUGGACCCAGAUCAGAUAACACAGCCCAGUCUCAGUCUGGACACA